UACGGAGGAUGCAAGCGUUAUCCGGAAUGAUUGGGCGUAAAGCGUCCGCAGGUGGCAAUGUAAGUCUGCUGUCAAAGCGUCUGGCUCAACCAGAUAAAGGCAGUGGAAACUACACAGCUAGAGUGCGUUCGGGGCAGAGGGAAUUCCUGGUGUAGCGGUGAAAUGCGUAGAGAUCAGGAAGAACACCGGUGGCGAAGGCGCUCUGCUAGGCCGCAACUGACACUGAGGGACGAAAGCCAGGGGAGCGAACGGG
rnacentral:rRNA from 1 species